CUCCAACUUUGAAAUGACGAGCCCAAAUUCUAUGGUUUCCCAUUACACAGGAUCCUACAGGUAUGUAUAUUCUACAAAGAAUACUGUGGAGUUUCUCUUCUUCCCUGUCACACGAGAUAACUGAUUAGGGUUUCCACUUGUACUGUGCUGGCUGCACACCAACGCCGUGGUUAAGGGAUCAGGACAGGAGGGCGUGUGCUAAGGCAUGUAAAUAGAUACACACAGAGAGAAAGAAAAGCAGGACAUUUACAAAGAAUCCGAACCUUUCCAAUCCCUUCAGCUCUUCUUGCAAGCUAAGGCUUUGCUGUAUACCCUGCAAAUACUUACAAUUGGAUACGGUGAAAUAUACAACAACCAUUAACAUCUCUCUCUUUUUAUCACUGAGACAAUACUUCAAAACCUUUUAUAAAAAGGUAAUAAUACAUACAGAAAAAAGAACACGUUGGCAAAACUUUAUGCAAAACCACCUCAGAACUGAGUUUGAAUGGCGAUGCGCCCACAUUGCAAUGAAACACGAUGCUCUGGUCUCAGCACAUGAAGGCUGUGCAGCCUUUGCACCUGGGAGCUGCCACCCAACUGCAUGGCAGACAUUUUGGGGACAGCUAAGACUGGCAAUCCAUGCCAAUUCUUGGUCCCUUCCAAAUGAAAAAAAUAGGUGGGGCCACUAGCUGUGGACACCUAUUUCUACUCCCAAGCACAACUCCUUGGAUAGAUUGCAUUUCCCCUGGGCCCAGAGACAGUCACCCCAGGCCUCCAUUGCUGAGAACAUUGGUAUGUCUUGGAGGUUAUGCUCCAGAGAGAAUGGAGCUAACUCUAAGUGGUAACCAAGUUCCAAGUUUCUGCACACAUGUGGAGAUGGAGUCAUGCUUGGGGCCAGAAAGCAGGUCUCUUUUGUGGUUGCAACAUCUCUUUCCAUUUUCUUUUGCUCAGUCCAUUUGCACAGGUUCAGGGGAGUUGAUGGAGGAUCAGGUGAGAGGUGAAAGGAACUAAGGAUUCUCUCUCCCCAGGAAGAGCUAAGACUUGGGAGUGUCUGCUCUAGAGAUGAUGGUGCCCUCUAUGCACUGCCAUUUCUGUGUGCCCACCUGAUGCAGACCAAGGGCGCCAGGGAAAAGACCAGAGGGGAAAAUAGCAGAGAACAGACUCCUCUCACCUUUCCUCGCUUCCUGGUUGGAUGUGACAGCUGAAGUUUACUCCCUAGGCUGGGCAGUCUGAGACUUGCCAAAUCCCCAGGUUUAAGGCAGAUGGACAUGAGUGCUCGGGCACAGCCAACCAUGUAGUAAGUCUCAGUAUGGUUCUGAAACUGGAUAUACCGAACAGAGGGAACCCUGUCUUCCAAGGGAUCAGAAAAGAGAAAGCUGUACCAAAUGAAAUGAGAGAUCACAGCACGUAGCCCUUCCAUAAGCUGCAAGGAGAAGAAGCAAGAUCUCUUAAGAGAAGAAUUGAUCGGAGGCGCAGAACAAGAGAGCCACGCUCAGGGGCCUUUCCCCCUGAUGGGCCACAGGGAGCCUCAGGAUUGUAAGCCCUUGUAAGGAGGAUGGCCUUAGGAGGCUGUGUUCAGUUCUGAAAAAGUGAAAAACACAAAAUACACAACAGUUUGAUGAUAGGGAUGAGGACCGCAAGGGGCUUGCUUUUGCAAUGCUGACUGCGAUGCGCUUUCUCCUCUUUCCAAAGAGACAUUUUUAUUAAAGAGUUUACUAAUGCAUCUGUUUUCUUGGUAGCUUAGCAGCAAGCUAAGCUUAACUUUGCCCCAAGUUAAGAAAAUGAUCUGAAGUGUGCUGUGGACUGCCUUGUCCUUCGGGGGCAGUUUGGACCCUGGGCCUCUCCCUUGUCCUGUUUCCUGGAGGGUGGCUUGAUUGACUCAACUUUUGCAAGGAAUGAACUGGAAGCCUUAAUAAAGAUACAACUACAAGCAAUUUCAAAACAAACAAAGGAACACUGAGAUCAAAGGCUUGGAAAGAUAAUAGUAGCUUCAAAAGAAGGCUUGGCCUGCUUGGCCAGGCUCCGCAGCAGGAGAUGGACACUGGGACGGGAACACUUCCUGCAUUUCUCCAUGCAGCAGGGAACUCUGCACAUCUUUAGAUAUUCUGCCACCAAUAGGAUGGGAUGGGAGGAUGGCAUCUGAAUACAAAUAGCAAAAAGUAGGUCAACCAUUUCUUUUCCUCUCUGAGCAGAUAUUUUAAACCAUCUCACCUGACAGAAG
ensembl:lncRNA